CAAAAAUUUUUGACAAUCGAAAAUAAUGUGUUCCACAGUUCCAUCACUUGAAUUACAAUGUGGACAAGUUUUAUUCGCAAUAAUGCCGAGUCGAGCAAGGUGUGACGGUGCAGUAUUAUGACCAAAACGUAGUCUAUUUAUGAUAGUAAUAAAGUCUCUAGUAGCAUCUUGCAUACGAUGAUACCAAGGUCUUGCAGGAGUAUAUCGGACAGUGUUGGAGAAUUACCACAUAAUAGACCUUGUGCUGUUAUUAAUGGUCUUCUUGGUGUUCUAUCUAUAUAAGGUCAGAGAUUAAAGAGGUGAAACUGUCUGCACUACUACGCCCUCUACGGAAGCCAUAUUGUAUAUGUGGAAUGAAACACUUGGAUUCAACAUACCAGUCAAGACGGACUUUCACCAUAUUUUCGAAUAUUUUACCAAGACAGGAUGACAAGGAAAUUGGUCUAUAAGAACUAGCAAACUCAGGAGAUUUGUCGGGCUUAAGUAUUGGGACAACACACUGUGUUUUCCAUGACUGUGGAAUAGAUUUAUUACGCCAAAGCAAAUUGAGGAUGCUAAGAAACAACUUUUGGGCAGAUACAUCUAACUUUUUAAUUACUAUGUAAGGAUAAUCAUCUAAGCCAGGAGUUGUAUUUCGUCUAGAGUGCAAGCUUGUUAAAAAUUCAGACCAUGAAAAUGGAUCCAGUAAAAAUUUAGAAUUUGGGUUGUGAUUGUUGAUUUCAAAAAGAACGUUCAGUUGAUCUACCUCAAUUAAGUUGCUAUUAUCUGAUAAUUUAUCCAAGAGUGGAGAUAUAAACUCAUUUGUAUAUGAUUUAUUCUUAGGUCUUAUGCCUUUAAACAUUUUUAAUAAAUUCCAAAUUUUACUUA